CAGAUGAGGUUUUGACUGUUGCAGAGGCUGUUGCACGCCAGGAGCUUGAUUAUUGUGAGCAGUGCCGAGGACAACACCUGCGGAAAGACAGAGCUGAGAUUCCAUCAUCAACAUAAGUUCAUGUAACAUUAAUCUCCAAAGGCGGUACACAAAAUAAUUGUUAAUAAUAGACGAAGAAACAAAGGAUGUGGAUUUAAGCUGACUGAUUAAAGAACCAGUAGCUGACAUGAGUUAAAAAAAUCAGUGAAGUCUGUAAACAGGAGAACAAAUACUCAGUAGAAGAGAACUCACUGAAUGGUGUGAACUAUUUUUAUCCAAGUCUGUGGAGUUUUCGUGAGUUUUGCACUGGGAAAACUUUUAAAGAAUAAAAACUAAUCUAGAAAAUUGCUGGGAUUCCCUUUGUCUAUUUGGAUACAUUAUGCCAUUUAAAUGGGGUAGGAGACUUGCCAAACAGGUUAACUAGAACUAACUAAUGUCAGUCAGGCGCACUUGUGUGGCAAUUAGAUGCUACAUCAUGCUUAGAGCGAAAAGGUUUUAAAUACUGUCAAUUGCAAGUUUGUGUUCAAACAUCUCCGAUAUUUGUCACUGAUCUUUGGUGAGAAAUAAGCAGUAAGACAAUUCUGAACCAUUUUGCUCACUAUGGUUUCAAGCAUUCAGGCUUGGAGAUGCAAGAAAUAGGGAGUGAAAAUGCAAUGAUUUCACAAGUUUGAAACUACGA